GGAAGGCCGAGGACAAAGGAGGAAAGCGCCAGCCUCGAAUUGCUGCCCAGCAGAGAGCCAGCUCCCCACCAAUGCGCCUGGAAGAUGGCUCAAGUGCAAGAUCCAGAUGUGAUUCCAGGUUCCUGACUUUGGGCUGGCAUUUGGCAGAGAGGGAGAGAGAGAGAGACAGACACGAUCUUCUGGCUCACUUCCCCAAUGUCUGCAAUGUCUGGACCGUGGGCUGAAGCUGGAAUAUGGAAACUCAAUCCCAGUCUCACGGACUGGCAUUGUGGCAUAGUGGAUAAAGCUGCCGCCUGAGAUACUGGCAUCCAUAUCAGCACUGGUUCACGUCCUGGCUGCUCCACUUGCAAUCUAGCCCCCUGCUAAUGGCCUGGGAAAAGCAGUGGAAGAUGACUUGGGUGUUUGGGCCCCUGCCACCCAUAUGAA